UACAGAGGUCUCAAGCGUUGUUCGGAUUUACUGGGCGUAAAGGGCGCGUAGGCGGCGCAACAAGUCACUUGUGAAAUCUCCGGGCUUAACCCGGAGCGGCCAAGUGAUACUGUCGUGCUAGAGUGCGGAAGGGGCUACUGGAAUUCUCGGUGUAGCGGUGAAAUGCGUAGAUAUCGAGAGGAACACCUGCGGCGAAGGCGGGUAGCUGGGCCGACACUGACGCUGAUGCGCGAAAGCCAGGGGAGCGAACGGG
rnacentral:rRNA from 1 species